UUCCACGGCCUCCGCCACUCCACAACAAUGGCGGACAAGCUGUGAAAAAAAGGAGGAAAAAACGCCCCGGCUCGGGCUGCGGCAGUGUGGAGACCUGUCGUAUACGCAGGCGGCGCAAGCCCCUGUGAGGGCACAUCCGGCGGAGGCCGUGUGUCCGGAGUCAGAAAACUAUGGCA
rnacentral:ncRNA from 1 species